rnacentral:rRNA from 1 species
UACGAAGGGGGCUAGCGUUGCUCGGAAUCACUGGGCGUAAAGCGCACGUAGGCGGCUUCUCAAGUCAGGGGUGAAAUCCUGGAGCUCAACUCCAGAACUGCCUUUGAUACUGAGGGGCUCGAGUCCGGGAGAGGUGAGUGGAACUCCGAGUGUAGAGGUGAAAUUCGUAGAUAUUCGGAAGAACACCAGUGGCGAAGGCGGCUCACUGGCCCGGUACUGACGCUGAGGUGCGAAAGCGUGGGGAGCAAACAGG